rnacentral:rRNA from 1 species
CGCCCCUCCGGACCGGGAUAACGAGACCGAAAGGACUGCUAAUACCGGAUAAGCCCACAAGCCAACCGGGCGUGCGGGAAAAGUACGGGAUCCUUCGGGACCGUAUGCGGAAGGAUGAGUUUCGCGUUCCAUUAGAUAGUUGGUGAGGUAACGGCCCACCAAGUCGACGAUGGAUAGCUGGUCUGAGAGGAUGAUCAGCCACACUGGAACUGAGACACGGUCCAGACUCCUACGGGAGGCAGCAGUGGGGAAUCUUGCGCAAUGGGGGAAACCCUGACGCAGCCAUGCCGCGUGAGUGAAUGAAGGCCUUCGGGUUGUAAAGCUCUGUCUAAGGGGACGAAUGGCACAUAGAACAAGACAUUAUGCGCGUGACGGUACCCUUAAAGAAAACACCGGCUAACUCCGUGCCAGCCGCGGC